rnacentral:misc_RNA from 1 species
GAUGAAGAACGCAGCGAAAUGCGAUACGUAGUGUGAAUUGCAGAAUCCAGUGAAUCAUCGAAUCUUUGAACGCACAUUGCGCCCGCCAGUAUUCUGGCGGGCAUGCCUGUUCGAGCGUCAUUUCAACCAUCAAGCCCCCGGCUUGUGUUGGGGACCUGCGGCUGCCGCAGGCCCUGAAAAGCAGUGGCGGGCUCGCUGUCACACCGAGCGUAGUAGCAUACAUCUCGCUCUGGGCGUGCUGCGGGUUCCGGCCGUUAAACCACCUUCAUAACCCAAGGUUGACCUCGGAUCAGGUAGGAAGACCCGCUGAACUUAAGCAUAUCAAUAAGCGGAGGA